rnacentral:rRNA from 1 species
GACGAACGCUGGCGGCGUGCUUAACACAUGCAAGUCGAACGGGAUGAUUUAAGAGCUUGCUCUUGGAGAAUCUAGUGGCAAACGGGUGAGUAACACGUAGACAACCUGCCGACAGGAUGGGGACAACAUUCCGAAAGGAAUGCUAAUACCGAAUGAAGCGGAGGAGAGGCAUCUCUCCUCCGUGAAAGAUGGCCUCUAUUUAUAAGCUAUCACCUGUCGAUGGGUCUGCGUCUGAUUAGCUGGUUGGUGAGGUAACGGCUCACCAAGGCGACGAUCAGUAGCCGGUCUGAGAGGAUGAACGGCCACAUUGGGACUGAGACACGGCCCAGACUCCUACGGGAGGCAGCAGUGGGGAAUCUUCCGCAAUGGGCGCAAGCCUGACGGAGCAACGCCGCGUGAGUGAAGAAGGUCUUCGGAUCGUAAAGCUCUGUUGACGGGGACGAACGUACGGAGUGCGAAUAGUGCUCUGUAAUGACGGUACCUGUCGAGGAAGCCCG